rnacentral:lncRNA from 1 species
GGAGAGGGGGUGGAAUGUCAGGGGAGGUGGUGAUUGCUUGCCGGAUUUCCGAGGAGGUGGCGGCGGCGGCGACGGGUGAGGGGAGGGGGAAGAAGACGAGGGGGGGAUUUUGUUUUUAUUUUUUUUUAUUCCACAUGUCAUAAAUAUGCCACUUUGUAAUUUUCGGCUGUCACAGUGUCAAUUCCGACUGUCACAGUGUCAUUUUCGGCGCCGAUGUAAGAAAAAACCGAUCAUCGGACAAAUUUGAGACAAAAAUGAAAAGUUAUGUAUUUUAAAGCGGAUUUUUUAAAUUAAGAGCAAAAACCAAUUCCGUGAAAACGUUAUGGAUAUACAGGCAAUUAACCC